GUGCCAGCAGCCGCGGUAAAACGUAGGUGGCGAGCGUUAUCCGGAUUCACUGGGCGUAAAGCGCAUGCAGGUGGCACAGUAAGUAGGGCAUGAAAACUCCUGGCUUAACUGGGAGAGGCUGUCCUAGACUGCUGAGCUUGAGGAUGGGAGAGGGAAGUGGAAUUGCCGGUGUAGUGGUGAAAUGCGUAGAGAUCGGCAGGAACACCCGUGGCGAAAGCGGCUUCCUGGCCCAUUCCUGACACUCAGAUGCGAAAGCUAGGGGAGCGAACGGGAUUAGAAACCCCAGUAGUCC
rnacentral:rRNA from 1 species